rnacentral:rRNA from 1 species
UGCGUAGGCGGGGCAAUUAGUCAGUGGUGAAAUCCUGCGGCUUAACCGUAGAACUGCCAUUGAUACUGUUGCCCUUGAGUAUAGUUGAGGUGGGCGGAAUGUGUAAUGUAGCGGUGAAAUGCAUAGAGAUUACACAGAACACCAAUUGCGAAGGCAGCUCACUAAGCUAUAACUGACGCUGUGGCACGAAAGCGUGGGGAGCGAACAGGAUUAGAUACCCUGGUAGUCC